GAUGAAGAACGUAGCGAAAUGCGAUAAGUAAUGUGAAUUGCAGAAUUCAGUGAAUCAUCGAAUCUUUGAACGCACAUUGCGCCCGCCAGUAUUCUGGCGGGCAUGCCUGUUCGAGCGUCAUUACAACCCUCAGGCCCCCGGGCCUGGCGUUGGGGAUCGGCGGAAGCCCCCUGUGGGCACACGCCGUCCCUCAAAUACAGUGGCGGUCCCGCCGCAGCUUCCAUUGCGUAGUAGCUAACACCUCGCAACUGGAGAGCGGCGCGGCCAUGCCGUAAAACACCCAACUUCUGAAUGUUGACCUCCAAUCAGGUAGGAAUACCCGCUGAACUUAAGCAUAUCAAUAAGCGGAGGA
rnacentral:misc_RNA from 1 species